rnacentral:rRNA from 1 species
AUUGAACGCUGGCGGCAUGCUUUACACAUGCAAGUCGAACGGCAGCGCGGGCUUCGGCCUGGCGGCGAGUGGCGAACGGGUGAGUAAUGCAUUGGAACGUGCCCAGUAGUGGGGGAUAGCCCGGCGAAAGCCGGAUUAAUACCGCAUACGACCUGAGGGUGAAAGCGGGGGACCGAAAGGCCUCGCGCUAUUGGAGCGGCCGAUGUCGGAUUAGCUAGUUGGUGGGGUAAAGGCUUACCAAGGCGACGAUCCGUAGCUGGUCUGAGAGGACGACCAGCCACACUGGGACUGAGACACGGCCCAGACUCCUACGGGAGGCAGCAGUGGGGAAUUUUGGUCAAUGGGGGCAACCCUGAUCCAGCCAUGCCGCGUGCGGGAAGAAGGCCUUCGGGUUGUAAACCGCUUUUGUUCGGGAAGAAAUCCUCUGGGCUAAUACCCCGGGGGGAUGACGGUACCGGAAGAAUAAGCACCGGCUAACUACGUG